rnacentral:lncRNA from 1 species
CUCAUUGGCAGACUUAUGUUUCAGGCAUGUUGAGAUUUGGAAAGUGGAUGUAACUGAAAUUCAGAUAGCUUUAGUGAUUGUCUUUGUGUUGUCUGCAUUUGGAGGAGCAACAAUGUGGGACUAUACGUUCCUAUUCUAGAAAUAAAAUUGAAGAUCCUUCCAGUUCUUGGAUUUCUAGGUGGAGUAAUAUUUUCCUGUUCAAAUUAUUUCCAUGUUAUCCUCCAUGGUGGUGUUGGCAAGAAUGGAUCCACUAUAGCAGCACCAGUGUCUUGUCACCUGGACUCCACAUAGGACUAAUUAUUAUACUGGCAAUAAUGAUCUAUAAAAAGUCAGCAACUGAUGUGUUUGAAAAGCAUCCUUGUCUUUAUAUCCUAAUGUUUGGAUGUGUCUUUGCUAAAGUCUCACAAAAAUUAGUGUAGCUCACAUGACCAAAAGUGAACUAUAUCUUCAAGACACUGUCUUUUUGGGGCCAGGUCUUUUGUUUUUAGACCAGUACUUUAAUAACUUUAUAGACGAAUAUGUUGUUCUAUGGAUGGCAAUGUGAUUUCUUCAUUUGAUAUGGUGAUAUACUUUAGUGCUUUGUGCCUGCAAAUUUCAAGACACCUUCAUCUAAAUAUAUUCAAGACUGCAUGUCAUCAAGCACCUGAACAGGUUCA